AUUGAACGCUGGCGGCAGGCCUAACACAUGCAAGUCGAGCGGGGUUUUCGGACCUAGCGGCGGACGGGUGAGUAAUGCGUAGGAAGCUACCCGAUAGAGGGGAUACCAGUUGGAAACGACUGUUAAUACCGCAUAAUGUCUACGGACCAAAGUGUGGGACCUUCGGGCCACAUGCUAUCGGAUGCGCCUACGUGGGAUUAGCUAGUUGGUGAGGUAAUGGCGCACCAAGGCGACGACCCCUAGCUGGUUUGAGAGGAUGAUCAGCCACACCGGAACUGAGACACGGUCCAGACUCCUACGGGAGGCAGCAGUGGGGAAUAUUGGACAAUGGGCGCAAGCCUGAUCCAGCCAUGCCGCGUGUGUGAAGAAGGCCUUCGGGUUGUAAAGCACUUUCAGUAGGGAGGAAGGGUGUUGUGUUAAUAGCACAGCAUUUUGACGUUACCUACAGAAGAAGCACCGGCUAACUCUGUGCCAGCCGCCGCAGUAAUAC
rnacentral:rRNA from 1 species